rnacentral:rRNA from 1 species
UACGAAGGGGGCUAGCGUUGCUCGGAAUCACUGGGCGUAAAGCGCACGUAGGCGGCUUUUUAAGUCAGGGGUGAAAUCCUGGAGCUCAACUCCAGAACUGCCUUUGAUACUGGGAAGCUUGAGUCCGGGAGAGGUGAGUGGAACUCCGAGUGUAGAGGUGAAAUGCGCAGAUAUCAGGAAAAACACCCGUGGCGAAGGCGGCUUUCUGGGACGGUACUGACGCUGAGACGCGAAAGCGUGGGGAGCGAACAGG